rnacentral:lncRNA from 1 species
UCGUUUGUGAAGUGGAGAUCAUGCUAAUAGAGCAUGGGGUUGCCUUGACUGUGGAGUGAGGCAGAUUCAGCUAGCAGCAGCCUCCUGGGGUGUUGCAGGGCUUGAUGUGAAGAAUGGGUAAUUUAUAAAGAAAAGAGGUUUAAUUGGCUUGUGGUUCUGUAGGCUGUACAAACAUGGAGCCAUCUGCUUAGCUUCUGGGGAGGCCUCAGGGAGUUUUUACUCAUGGUACAAGUCAAAGCAGGAGCAGGAGCAUCACACGGCAAACGCAGGAGCAAGAGAGAGUGGGAGUGGAAAAUGUUGGGAGGAGGUGCCACACACUUUUAAAUGAUCAGAUCUUGCAAGAACUCACUAUCUCAAAGACAGCACCAAACCAUGAGGGAUCUGCCCCCAUAACAAAAACACCUCCCAUCAGGCCCCACGUCCAGCACUGAGUAUCUCACCUGCUGAUCUCAAGGGUCAUGAAUAU